rnacentral:tRNA from 1 species
GGGGAUGUAGCUCAGUUGGUAGAGUGCUUGCCUCGAACGCACAAGGUCCUGGGUUCAAUCCCCAGCACCA